ACUUAAAUUGAAGAGUUUGAUCAUGGCUCAGAUUGAACGCUGGCGGCAGGCCUAACACAUGCAAGUCGAGCGGUAGCACAGAGAGCUUGCUCUCGGGUGACGAGCGGCGGACGGGUGAGUAAUGUCUGGGAAACUGCCUGAUGGAGGGGGAUAACUACUGGAAACGGUAGCUAAUACCGCAUAAUGUCGCAAG
rnacentral:rRNA from 1 species